rnacentral:rRNA from 1 species
UACAGAGGUCUCAAGCGUUGUUCGGAUUCAUUGGGCGUAAAGGGUGCGUAGGCGGCGCGGUAAGUCGGGUGUGAAAUUUCGGAGCUUAACUCCGAAACUGCAUUCGAUACUGGCGUGCUUGAGGACUGGAGAGGAGACUGGAAUUCAUGGUGUAGCAGUGAAAUGCGUAGAGAUCGUGAGGAAGACCAGUGGCGAAGGCGGGUCUCUGGACAGUUCCUGACGCUGAGACACGAAGGCCAGGGGAGCAAACGGG